AGUGCAGAAUGGGCCUCGGGAACGUUUGGCCCAAACCACGGGGAAGGUGCAAGCUGGAAAAACAGGGUGUAUUUGUGAAGUACCAUAGGCCCUAUCCAAACCUCUACAAGGCUACUGCAAGCAGGUAACAGAAAUGUGAAAGAAACAGAAAAGCGCUUAUCAAACGCGCUUAUUCACCAAGCCUAUCCACAAGCAGAAACGCAAUUGGUUCUAUAAUGGAGAUUGUAACCGGAUUUCACAAGCGAUUACGCAAUGGUGACAAUUUCUACUAUCCAAUACAUCCUCAUGGAAAACAAGUCGAAGCGUAAGCAUACGGAUUAAGAGCUACCUGUCGAAGACGACGACGGAGGUGGCGACGAUGAUGACGAACACGCACAGCUUCUGAGCGUCUCUCUUCCUCUUCUCACAGUGUUGGAGCGAGCUGGAAGCGUGUGAGCGAUAACGAUCUGCGAGCUUCGAAGCUUCCGGUGGCGGUGGCGAUGAUGACGAAGAUCACUGGUAUGCUUCCGAUCCACUUUUGAGCGCCUCUCUUUUUCUUCUCUUAAUGCCGAGAUGCUCCUUCCGUAUCUGAAGCGUAUGAGAGGUGGUGAUCGUCGAACUUUGAGUCUUCCGGUGGUGGUUUAGCUCUGCCGUGUAGAGCUUCGAGUGAUGAAGCUCUCACAACAAUGGAAGAUGAGCGUAUGCUGAAGGUGGGAAUUGAGUGCAAAAUGCUUUUGGAAUGAGGGAAAAAUCUUCUGAACCCAAUGAUUGGCAAUGAUUGCCACUUAUAUAGCACGAUCCAGGGGCAAAUUGGAGAAUUAAGUCUGAAUGGUUCAAUCUGCAUCAUCCAGCUGGCACUUAAGUGAAUGAGAAGGUUUUCUUGGCUUUGGUUCCGGAGCAGGGUAGUUACCACGAUUAUGACUCAAAUUCCAUUUCUCGCCUUGCAUUGCCGACUGUUAUGGAUUUUGCCGGUGUAGUCAUUAGAAUCAUCUUGGUCCUCUUUUGCAGGUAGCUCCGAAGUUGCAGUAGGGUGCUUGGUUGAUGUAUGAAUUGAUGUGAGAUCCACCCUAUGGUUUUGGUUUGCUUCAUGUUGCAGAACUGCUUUGUUUGACUUUAAUUUGAAACAGUUUAGUAUGCCAACAGGGUGCAGCCCAAUUGUGGAUUUUGCAUUUUGCUUUGCGGUUUACCGGCUUGGAAUUGUGGCUAUUGUUUGGCUCGGCUGUUUGGCGUUUUGGACUCACUUUUAUGCAGGUUUUUGGUGGUAUUUAAAUGCCGAAUUUUGGUUGUAUUUAAAUGCAGAAUUUUGUUGUGCAGAAUUUUGUUCAUGGCUGGCUCACGUUUGGAGCUUGGUUAACGGCGUCGGCAUUGGCUUGCUAAGCUUGUAGCUUGUUGUUCGAAUUGAGUCGCUUUUCUUGAAUUGCCUUUGCUGAAAUUUAUUUAUGCAGGAUUUAUUGUGUUGCUGCAGUUUGGUGUUGGCUCUUUUUCACUUGCAGCUUGGCUCAAGGUAAUGUAGCAGCUGGAGUUUUUGGCUUUUGUUUUGUAUCGGCUUGGAUGCCGCUUUUGGCUUGUACACGCUUGUUUGGAAGCUUCAUACGCAUUUCCGUUUGGCUUUGUCUCAGUGCAUUUGGAAGCGUAACUCGCAGCUUAUGAGUAGCAGCAUGCAUUUGAAAUAAUUGUUUCUCCUACUGCAUUUUAGCAGCUUUAAGUUGUAGCUUGAGUGUUGUACUUCCUUUUCUUUGUUUAGUUAUUAUUUGGAUACAUGUGUAAUGGACUUUAUCGAGUGGAAUUGGUUAAGUGGUUCUGGAUGUUAA